rnacentral:rRNA from 1 species
GAUGAACGCUGGCGGCGUGCCUAAUACAUGCAAGUCGAGCGAACAGAUAAGGAGCUUGCUCCUUUGAAGUUAGCGGCGGACGGGUGAGUAACACGUGGGUAACCUACCUAUAAGACUGGGAUAACUUCGGGAAACCGGAGCAAAUACCGGAUAACAUUUAGAACCGCAUGGUUCUAAAGUGAAAGAUGGUUUUGCUAUCACUUAUAGAUGGACCCGCGCCGUAUUAGCUAGUUGGUAAGGUAACGGCUUACCAAGGCGACGAUACGUAGCCGACCUGAGAGGGUGAUCGGCCACACUGGAACUGAGACACGGUCCAGACUCCUACGGGAGGCAGCAGUAGGGAAUCUUCCGCAAUGGGCGAAAGCCUGACGGAGCAACGCCGCGUGAGCGAUGAAGGGUUUCGGCUCGUAAAACUCUGUUAUUAGGGAAGAACAAAUGUGUAAGUAACUGUGCACAUCUUGACGGUACCUAAUCAGAAAGCCACGGCUAACUACGUGCCAGCCGCCGCCGUAA